rnacentral:rRNA from 1 species
UACAGGAGAAGCUGACGUUAUUCGUCGUUACUGGGUGUAAAGGGUAUGUAGAUUUUAAUACUUAAAUAUUAAUUUUAAUAAUCAAAUUUUAUCAAAGUUAAAUUAAUAGUAUUAUAAGAGUUGCCGUAUAAAUAAUAGAACUUCCUUUGUAAAGGUGAAAAUUGUAAAUAAAGGAAUGAAUACCUUAAAUGAAAAUUAUUAUUUUUUUGCAACUGACAUUUAUUAUACGUAGGUUUGGGUAGCAAACAAG